UUAAGCGCUCGUGCACGCCACAUCUGUCGCGAUUCUCUAUCUUCUUUGUUGACACUCGCUCCGUCCACUCCCAAUUGAUCAUCGUCAAUUCGAAAUAUGAAAGCACGCGUGAUCAUCAAAAGAAGCACGGUUUUGCAUCGUGACGCUGCUCGAUUGAGUGCACGUGGAAAAUUAGAUUGAAUAUCCCCGAGAAAGACCCUAUGAACUGUCUCAUCGAGUUGUAGUUAAAUGGUAACGGGUAUUUCGUAAGCUGUGCUCCCGGACCAAGGGCGCUCGCCAUGAUCGACGAUCGUGAGAAAAGGCGCAGCGGAGAAAUCGUUUCCGUCCGUUUUUCCAACGCGCUUCACGGCCAAGAAGAAUUAAUGAGACCCUCUGCACGCGCGAAUCUCGUGUCUGUGAAUGGAAUCUUCGUUGUGAAGUCAACGAUGGAUGAUAUUCUUUUUUCAACUAUCGGAUUUCUGCUAUCUAUAGGGAUAUUUUCUCAGUAGUUACCACCUCGACAUUUUUAAGAAUUUGAAAGAUUUUUUAAUUCCAUGAUUGCAAUCUUUUUACAAGUAGUUUAUGAUCCGACUAUGGAUUUUUAAAUUUGCAAAAACGUAACAUACUGAAAAUACAUGAAACUUCCAACGCAAAGUUUUUUUUUUUUAAUUAUUUAGAAGGUGAAUCAAGUUUAUACCCAAGUCCCAUUUUUUUCGUUGCUUUCAUAAAAAUAUGAAUUUACAUAAAAAUCCGCAGCCUAUUUAUAACUUUGAUAUAUAUACAUAUAUUUUAUUGCAAUCUUUGAUUAAAGUUUCUUACACCAAGGAAUUAUUAAGGAUUUUGUAGAACUAAUCAGGAGUUUAAAUCAAUUUGUGAAGAUGUACGUCGGAGAUUGUUAAAGCAACUCUCACUUGAUGAACUUCUGAUCGCUCACGAAUGUGCCUUGCGCGUGCAAUCAUUCAUCAUUCCAGAUAUACAUAGCAAUUACUUUUUGGAAUGGAACGAAGAGUUUCAGUAGCAACUACUGUAGACGUGUUAUUACGUAAAUCUUCUACGAUGCAAACAACCAGGCAUUAAUUAUUGAUGAAUAGGAAUUUAAUGAAACCAUGUUUAUGACGAUUAGAGAUUUCCUAUGAAUGACAAUAAAUACAGACCUAUUAAUUCUGUUAUGAAAGUUGAUUCGAUGAAAUUAAAGACAUACAUAUAAUUAAAAAGUUAUAUAACACGUAUUGUAUGAAAGUAUGCACUGUAUACCAUAAAUUAUAUUAUGAACUAGAUUAUACAUUGCACAGUAUACAAUAUAGUGCUCUAUAAGGCAUAUAUAUGUAUUAUAUACCAAACUAAAUAUAUAGGAAAUAAUAUUUACUCUCAUGAAAAUAAUGAAGAGAUUCUUAAUGUUUAGAAUCAAGUGUUUUGCGCGUUGAAACAUUGAAACUAUACAGAUACUUUCACCCUAGCGUUCAUUUAUGGAGCAGCAGUGUGAAAAGAGACGGGAGCUACAUUUUCAUACGUGCCAUGUGUCGACCAUAAUUAAAUCCUAAUUGCUGGAGCCAGACUUAAUUUGAUUUGACGCUAAAAAAAAAAAAAAGAAAACCUGGAUAGUGUCGAUAACCGUACAUGUUAAGGUCUUUGAUCUUGGUUGACAUAGUUUCCAUUGAAAUGUCGUGGAAUGCGUCACGCGUGUCUGCCGACACUUUUACAGAUUAAAAUAAGAAUUGUUGAGGCCGAACACCAUGAAUAAAUGCACAUAAAUUUUCUUUCAUUUAAAAGUAUCGUUGAACCAGUAUAUGUACACUUUAAUAUCUAUCAAUUGAUUUUGCAAUUUAAUACAAUAUGAUUUUAAUUAAUGUGUGCUAAUGGACGUUAUAGCAAGCUUGUAACUAACGUGACGGAACACCUAUAAAAUAAUUUAUAAGCAAGUUUAAUGAUUAAAAUACAAGGAGCAUUUUAUUUCUGUUUACAUUAUUCCUUAUUUGUAAUUGAUCUGGUUUAUAAUGCGAAGGAAAUCACAUUUGCUAUGGCAAAUGGCAGCGGUCGAGGGCAGAAAUAUUUCAGAGGAAUCCAUCUAAAAAUGUAUGGCACUCAAUGGGUCUAAUUAUAUGCAGACAGCUUGUCUCUCCCAAACGUUACACGAAUAUCCAAGCUUUCACUUGUGUUAUUUAAAUACCAGGAUCAUACUGUUCCAAGUUGCUAGAUCUGUUGACUCACCAUUUUUUCCAUUAUUACCAAAACAAUUAUAUCACAUUCUUUGAAUUAAUUACUUAGAAAUUAGCGAGUUGCUUGCUAGACAACGUUUUCUGUUAAUUGGCCAAAAAUACUGCAAUCUCUGUAAACAUGUUAGAAAACCUCUACAUAUAUCCUACGUGCAAUAGCAAAUGUGCUAUUCUGAAAUGUACAUCAACUUUAUCAAAACAAACUUAUGUAAGCAAAUAUACUGAAUGUGCAUCAUAAAACAAAAUAAGAUGCAAAUGUUUUUCA